AAUAAUAUCUUAAAUAAAGAACUCAAAUUAAAUAUCUAAUCAAAGACACGUGAAGAGGGCACUUCUAACAGCACAGUAAAUAUUUUACUGUCUUUUUCAGUGGAAGUCCUUAUCCAGGCAUUAUAUCAGCUUUUGUGUUAAAGACUGGACUAGACUGAGGUCAUGGAUAAGAAUAAAACCCAAAGCAAUUUUUCCCUCAUAUCAUUUUCUAGGUUUUAUUAUAGGUUUUAUAAAGAGU